rnacentral:rRNA from 1 species
GACGAACGCUGGCGGCGUGCCUAAUACAUGCAAGUUGAGCGCUGAAGGUUGGUACUUGUACCAACUGGAUGAGCAGCGAACGGGUGAGUAACGCGUGGGGAAUCUGCCUUUGAGCGGGGGACAACAUUUGGAAACGAAUGCUAAUACCGCAUAAAAACUUUAAACACAAGUUUUAAGUUUGAAAGAUGCAAUUGCAUCACUCAAAGAUGAUCCCGCGUUGUAUUAGCUAGUUGGUGAGGUAAAGGCUCACCAAGGCGAUGAUACAUAGCCGACCUGAGAGGGUGACCGGCCACAUUGGGACUGAGACACGGCCCAAACUCCUACGGGAGGCAGCAGUAGGGAAUCUUCGGCAAUGGACGAAAGUCUGACCGAGCAACGCCGCGUGAGUGAAGAAAGGUUUUCGGAUCGUAAAACU